AAGUUGCUGGCAGGGUCCAGAGGGUGAAAGCUCUCUUUGGGUUUCAGAUGGCUGUCUCCUCACUGUGUUCUCACAAGGCCUUUCCUAGAUCCUGAGAGCAUUCAUUCACUGGCAUUAAGUUCUUCCUCAGGGCUGCCCUAAAUUUGCUACUCAUUCUUGAGCUCUUCCUCAGGUCUU